rnacentral:sRNA from 1 species
AAAAAAAAAAAAAAAAAAAAAACAAGCACUUGAGGCGCUCUCCGAAUUGUGACAAAUAAACAUAAAUAAACAAAUUAAAUGUGCGACACACUCUUGAGCAGAAAAGCAAAAGAAGAAGCAGAAGGCAGCUGUGCAGGCACGAAAAUGCGUUUCAUAUGACGGCUGCCACAAAUGUAACCGAAUAUGUUGAUGACUAUUGGCCAUAUAUGCAUGCAUGCAUGUGUGUGUAUGUGUGUGUGUGUGUGUGUGUGUUUGCUUAGUCAUAACUGUGAGCUGAGCUGCCUUCUGGCUUUGCAGAAAUAACAUUGGGCAUAAAGCGGCAACAGACGUCGGGGCGUAUGCGCAAUGCGAUGCUUGAGUGAAUGGCGACUAAUGAAUGGACUCGACAUUCUAAACGUGAAACCAAUUGCAAUGGAAACGUAACAACAGUCUGAAGCAGUGGUGGAAAGGUAAAAAUGUCGAAGAUAUUGGAAAAUCGACCAGAACCCGAAAGCUAAAAGCAUUGGGCAGAAACAAAGCGAAAGGUGAAUGAAGUGAGACUAAGGCAGAGUGAAGUGAAAAGUGUUAAAGCCGAAGCAAAUCCGCAGAGCCGCAGACUUUGAGCCAAGACUUAGUUAACGUAAUGCUUCGGUGGCCUAUUCGCAAUUUGGACAUUGCCUUUCCUUUUUUGUAAAAAAGCUUUUGGAUCAGACGGUCUCAGUAUGGCAUCUGGCAAAAAGGAUACGAAAAAAAGGAUAUCGCCUAAAGAGAACGGAAUAUAAAUUUACUGCAAGUUUUUCUUUUUCUUUCAGUGACUUGAAACUGCUUGCCAAUUGAAGUUUCCAAGCGACAUUUUUCGUCGAUGUUGUUGCAGUUGUUGUCUUUGCUUCACGAGUUGCUGCAGAUGCGGAGGCCGCACGCAAAUAAACUAAACUGCACCUGGCACAACCCGAGCCGAGUCUUUACUCAUCUUAGAUGAGCCCCGAUUAUGGCAACAAUUGAGAGCAUGCUCGUCAGCCCACUUUUGACCCCACAGUAACGACCCAUUCUUAAUCUAUCAAUAAUAUUAUUCCCUGUUACGCCAUGGCCCCAAGUAGUUGGCCAAACAGCUUGAUUGGCUCUACAGUCACCGCCGUCAUGCACCGUAAUGCCGGGGAAAGUUUGGCGACGGCACCUGUGAACUCCAUCAACUGCACUCAACGAGCUUGCAUGAUAAUUACCGAGCUCUGGCUAAGAUAUUACAAAAUGUUAAGCCAAACUUUAAUUCAUUUUCGCAAUAGUAAUAUAAUUUGUACAAUCUUAAAAUGGUUUUGUUAAGACAUAUGUA